GUCCCUGUAGCGCAAUGGAUAGCGCGUUGGACUUCUAAUGCAAAGGUCGUGGGUUCGAAUCCUACCUGUGAUG